rnacentral:rRNA from 1 species
GACGAACGCUGGCUGCGUGCUUAACACAUGCAAGUCGAACGCUGAAACCCUGGUGCUUGCACCGGGGUGGAUGAGUGGCGAACGGGUGAGUAACACGUGAGUAACCUGCCCCCGACUUCGGGAUAAGCCCGGGAAACUGGGUCUAAUACCGGAUAUGAGCGCCCCUCGCAUGAGGGAUGCUGGAAAGUCUUUUCGGCUGGGGAUGGGCUCGCGGCCUAUCAGUUUGUUGGUGAGGUAAUGGCUCACCAAGACGACGACGGGUAGCCGGCCUGAGAGGGCGACCGGCCACACUGGGACUGAGACACGGCCCAGACUCCUACGGGAGGCAGCAGUGGGGAAUAUUGCACAAUGGGGGAAACCCUGAUGCAGCGACGCAGCGUGCGGGAUGACGGCCUUCGGGUUGUAGACCGCUUUCAGCAGGGAAGAAGCCCCUUGGGGUGACGGUACCUGCAGAAGAAGUACCGGCUAACUACGUGCCAGCCGCCGCAGUAA